rnacentral:rRNA from 1 species
GACGAACGCUGGCGGCGUGCUUAACACAUGCAAGUCGAACGGUAAGGCCCUUCGGGGUACACGAGUGGCGAACGGGUGAGUAACACGUGGGUGAUCUGCCCUGCACUUCGGGAUAAGCCUGGGAAACUGGGUCUAAUACCGGAUAGGACCACUGCCUGCAUGGGUGGUGGUGGAAAGCUCUUGCGGUGUGGGAUGGGCCCGCGGCCUAUCAGCGUGUUGGUGGGGUGAUGGCCUACCAAGGCGACGACGGGUAGCCGGCCUGAGAGGGUGACCGGGCACACUGGGGCUGAGGUACGGCCCAGACUCCUACGGGAGGCAGGAGUGGGGAAUAUUGGACAAUGGGCGCAAGCCUGAUGCAGCGACGCCGCGUGAGGGAUGACGGCCUUCGGGUUGUAAACCUCUUACAGCACCGACGAAGCGCAAGUGCCGGUAGGUGCAGAAGAAGGACCGGCCAACUACGUGCCAGCCGCCGCCGUAA